UACGGAGGGCGCGAGCGUUACCCGGAUUUACUGGGCGUAAAGGGCGUGUAGGCGGUCUCUCAAGUCCGAUGCUAAAGACCGAAGCUCAACUUCGGGGGUGCGUUGGAUACUGUGAGGCUAGACGGUCGGAGGGGGUAGCGGAAUUUCCGGAGUAGCGGUGAAAUGCGCAGAUACCGGAAGGAACGCCGAUAGCGAAGGCAGCUACCUGGACGAUUGGUGACGCUGAGACGCGAAAGCGUGGGGAGCAAACCGG
rnacentral:rRNA from 1 species